GAGGCCCCGGAUGUACAGUCCUUCCAGGUGGGACAGCACAGUCAUCAGCUCUUCCCGGGACACCGGGGCACCGUUGCCAGUGUGUCUGAAGUUCCCCUGCACAGCAAAUGGAGAGGCUUCCUGAGCCUGUCUGGCCGUGGGUCACUGGAUUCCGUGUGGAUGAUGGACAUGUGCUGACCCUGUUUAAAGGAAGCAGUUUGCAGAAACCAGCCAUCAUGCCAUGAGGGUCCGUGAACAGUACAGGACGAUCUCACGUGAUGAGUAUCCGAAGCUUCCAGCCAGAUUUAGCAAGGCACAGAAACCUUCUAGCUCUAUGGUAGUGGCCUUAGCAAUUGACUCUUCUAGUUCCAAGAUGACUAGGCUUGGCUAAUGUCUUGACCACAACCCCAAGGAAACUCUGGGCCAUUGUCUCCUGGAUCCCCAGUCCACAGAAACUGCAAUCACUUGUCCCCUUAAGCAGCUGUGCAGUACAGAUGGCCAACGCAGGAGAGGAGCGGAGGCUAGAGGCUGAUGGGUCAGCUGGAAGAGCAAUUGUGGGCACAUGAAAGUGUCAAAGUUCAUCGUUCUUCAUCCAGAGUUAGAGAUCUGGAGCCAACAGUGAGUUAACGACCCCUGAGCUAACUCACAGACAUUGAGUUCAUUCCUCAAUGACUGAUAAUUUCAUCAAUUUUGCCUACAUAAUGGAAUCUCUGUAAACACCUUGUUUAUUUAAGCCAUACACGAUAUGAAAUUAUGACAUCCUGGGAGCUGUGAAAUCCUCCCGUUCUACCAUCUCCUCUUAUGACAGACUUGCAGCCUAUGCCACCUGAUCACGUUUCUACACAGGGACUAGACUGGACUCAUCGUGGCCGGGCUCUGUCACACGGUGUGUGCUUCUCACUGAUACAAUCCUGGAGGAGCAUCAUUAAAUACACUUGGUCCUGCUUGUGAGAGUCUAACUGCCAUGGGGCCUCUGCUUCUUUUAAUAACUCUGUGAGUCACUUCUCAUUCUCCUGACAAGAAGCCUUUCUGCUGUAAAACAAAGGCUCCUCGGCAGAGCGUCUAAAGGCACCUGGCUCAUUUGCAACAGCUAUUAUUUAAAUGGUUUUAUAUUCCCCCAGAGGAGAGUUCCUUGGCAGGAAGCACAAAUCGAGAAAACCAUCAUGCACGGCUUCCUUUUCUGGGAACUUGUGUAAGCAGGACACACACGCGAGGUACCUUUGCCACCCUCUGUGUGGCAGGAGGCAGGGCAUCUCCGUCGACGUUGCCUAACUUGUAAACGUUAACUACCCGACCUCCCAGAUCUCUAGGAGACCCCCAGAGGGCUCAG